GACGAACGCUGGCGGCGUGCUUAACACAUGCAAGUCGAACGGAAAGGCCCUUCUUUUGUGGUUUGCUCGAGUGUCGAACGGGUGUGUAACACUUGUUUAACCUGCCCUUUACUUUGUGAUAACUUCAGGAAACUGGGUCUAAUACCUGAUAGUAGCUCCUGCUGCAUUGUGUGGGUUGGUACGUUUCGGCUGUUUGGGAUGGACUCGCUGCUUAUCAGCUUGUUGGUUGAGUAGUUGCUUACCAAGGCUUUGACGGGUAGCCGGCAUGAGAGGGUGAACGGCGACAUGGGGAAGGAGAUACGGACCAGACUCCAACGGGGGGCAGCAGUGGGGAAGAUUGCACAAUGGGCGGAAGCCUGAUGAAGAAACGCGGCGUGCGGGAUGACGGCCUUCGGGUUGUAAACCGCUUUAGCCUGUGACGAAGCGUGAGUGACGGUAAUGGGUAAAGAAGCACCGGCUAACUACGUG
rnacentral:rRNA from 1 species